rnacentral:rRNA from 1 species
CAAUAGCGUAUAUUUAAGUUGUUGCAGUUAAAAAGCUCGUAGUUGGAUUUCGGUUAAGAGCGACCGGUCCGCCGUUUGGUGUGCACUGGUUGGUUUUAACUUCCUGUAGAGGACGUGCUCUGGGUUUAACGACCUGGACUCGGAGUCUACGUGGUUACUUUGAAAAAAUUAGAGUGUUCAAAGCGGGCUUACGCUUGAAUAUUUCAGCAUGGAAUAACACUAUAGGACUCCUGUCCUAUUUCGUUGGUCUCGGGACGGGAGUAAUGAUUAAGAGGAACAGUUGGGGGCAUUCGUAUUUCAUUGUCAGAGGUGAAAUUCUUGGAUCUAUGAAAGACGAACUUCUGCGAAAGCAUUUGCCAAGGAUGUUUNCAUUA